rnacentral:rRNA from 1 species
AUUGAACGCUGGCGGCAGGCCUAACACAUGCAAGUCGAGCGGAUGACGGGAGCUUGCUCCUUGAUUCAGCGGCGGACGGGUGAGUAAUGCCUAGGAAUCUGCCUGGUAGUGGGGGACAACGUUUCGAAAGGAACGCUAAUACCGCAUACGUCCUACGGGAGAAAGCAGGGGACCUUCGGGCCUUGCGCUAUCAGAUGAGCCUAGGUCGGAUCAGCUAGUAGGUGAGGUAAUGGCUCACCUAGGCGACGAUCCGUAACUGGUCUGAGAGGAUGAUCAGUCACACUGGAACUGAGACACGGUCGAGACUCCUACGGGAGGCAGCAGUGGGGAAUAUUGGACAAUGGGCGAAAGCCUGAUCCAGCCAUGCCGCGUGUGUGAAGAAGGUCUUCGGAUUGUAAAGCACUUUAAGUUGGGAGGAAGGGCAGUAAGCUAAUACCUUGCUGUUUUGACGUUACCGACAGAAUAAGCACCGGCUAACUCUGUGCCAGCCGCCGCCGUAAAAC